rnacentral:rRNA from 1 species
UACGUAGGGGGCUAGCGUUGUCCGGAUUUAUUGGGCGUAAAGAGCGUGUAGGCGGCCAGGUAGGUCUGCUGUGAAAACUCGAGGCUCAACCUCGAGAGGUCGGUGGAAACCGUAUGGCUAGAGUCCGGAAGAGGAGAGUGGAAUUCCCGGUGUAGCGGUGAAAUGCGCAGAUAUCGGGAAGAACACCCGUGGCGAAGGCGGUUGCCUGGGGCUUUGCUGACGCUGAUGCGCGAAAGCGUGGGGAGCGAUCCGG